CCGUCGAGGUUGCCCUUGCGGUCAAUCACUCGCGGGAGUUGUAUUUUCACUUCAAGCUGCCAGCCUUUCCGUCUGAGAGUCAAUGUUGGAAUUAUAGUAAUCGUUAAAACUUUCAACAACGGAUCUCUUGGUUCUCGCAUCGAUGAAGAGCGCAGCGAAAUGCGAUAAGUAGUGUGAAUUGCAGAAUUCCGUGAAUCAUCGAGUUCUUGAACGCAUAUUGCGCCUUCAGGCAUUCCUGAAGGCAUGCCUGUUCGAGCGUCAUCAAACAUCCUGUCAAGGAUCGGUUUGGACAUUGCCACCGGUUCUUGGUUUUGAUUAAAGAGCGGAUGUGAAGCCGUUCUUGAUUGAAUUAUAUUUGCAAAGAUUGGAAUGCACGAUUCGACGUGAUAAAACUUCAUUUCGUCCGAGUUUGUUCUCGCUUUGCUCCAUUCCGGUUCCGAAUUCCGGAGCCAUUGUACUGUUAUGACCUCGGAUCAGGU
rnacentral:rRNA from 1 species